rnacentral:rRNA from 1 species
GGGGAAUAUUGGACAAUGGGCGCAAGCCUGAUCCAGCAAUGCCGCGUGUGUGAAGAAGGUCUUCGGAUCGUAAAGCACUUUCGACGGGGACGAUGAUGACGGUACCCGUAGAAGAAGCCCCGGCUAACUUCGUGCCAGCAGCCGCGGUAAUACGAAGGGGGCUAGCGUUACUCGGAAUUACUGGGCGUAAAGGGCGCGUAGGCGGCGCUCCAAGUUAGGCGUGAAAGUCCUGGGCUCAACCUGGGAACUGCGCUUAAGACUGGAGUGCUUGAGGAUGGAAGAGGGUCGUGGAAUUCCCAGUGUAGAGGUGAAAUUCGUAGAUAUUGGGAAGAACACCGGUGGCGAAGGCGGCGACCUGGUCCAUGACUGACGCUGAGGCGCGACAGCGUGGGGAGCAAAC